GCUGCGGUGGUGUAAUGGUAAGCAUAUUUAUCUAGGAAGUAAGAAACCCGGGUUCGAGUCCCGGCCGCAGUG